GCAGCAAGGACAUUUGGGCACAGACCCUCACCAGUUAGGACUGCACCACAGGCAGGAUGGCCCUCUUGGCCACUCAAAGCUUUUUCUGGUCCCCAAAACCACCUCCUGAUCAACCAAGACCACCUCCCAGACACCUGAGGCCAUCUCCUGGACACCUAAAACCAUCUCCUGGUCAUCUAAGAAUCAACUCCUUGUCAUCUGAAACAAUCUCCUGUCACCCAGGAGCACCUUCUAGUGGCAGGAAGACCAGCUCUGUGACCCCAUCUACUGGUGUCUGAGUCCCACCCCCACACUGGAGUGCCCUCCUCAUCCACAAUGUCCCCCCACAUGGUGCCACCUGCCACAUCUCUCCAUGCUCUUGUUGUCACCUUGCUUGUCCCAUGGUGACUUUCUAUGUCAUCCCUCAGACAGUGCCCUGUGUCUCCCUGCCUUGCCUUGGUGUUUUUCUCCAUGUGAUAAGGAUGUGGUCUCAUCCCACCCAAAACACCCACAAGCAGGGCCAUCCUCGCCACCACCAGUGACAGGGAUGUCAGCACACUUGCAGCGAGUGGAGAAGCUCGUCACUCCUCAUGCCUACAGGAUUUACCCAGGCAGACAGAGCAGAGCUCAGCAAGGAAACCAGCCAUGGAACAAAGCGCCAUCUCCAACUACCACUCGCCUGCAGCUCUUCAGGAAAAAAAUCUCAAAACUCAGAGAAAAUGGUUUUCUCCAGAGGAAGAAAUGAUCUCGAGAAAGAUGGGGAGUUGUGGUCCCGCAGGCACCAGCUGCUACAAACCUCCCAGGACACACAUUCCACAGGUUGCUGCAGCAUGGUUUCACUCAGCCUCCUUGAAGGAAAAUGUCUGAGGAGGAGAAGCUUUUUGGGGUCCCGGCGCAUUCUGUGGAGACCAUCAGCUCCAGGCUGGCCACCCAUGCCCAAGAACAGCUCUCAGGAACAGGCUUCUGCUCCCCCUCUGGGUAACAUGAGCCCUGGAAACUUGCAUCUGAUUUAAUUUGGAGACUUCCAGCUGCUGGGUGAGUUUUUGGCCCCAUCACUCCCCUGGGUACCAGCUUGGGAUCACUGAGUCCCGUGGCAGUGGAAAGCAGCAGAUACACACGGGAUGUUUCAGCACAAGUGGAUAUUCUGGAGCAGCCACAGCACUGCUGUGGGCAGCAGAGCCGUGCCUGAGCAUCAGGGUGGAGCCUUCUGGGCAGCCUUCUAAGGUGUUCAUCUCCAGCCAAGCAGAGGAUACUCAUUCCAGGUGCCUCCAGAGCUCAGGUCUGGAGGUGAACUUCAGUUUUUAAUCCCAGAGGUGAGGUGGGAUUUGAUCCCUUCGGACGAUGCCAUACACAGAGUUUUGAGUGUUCACACUGAAGGAAAAGCCUUGGCUGAGCUGUGUCCUUCAUCCCAGGAGAGACAGAAGCCAGCACAUCCCUGAAGGCACCUCCUUCAAAGAGGCAUCUGUUGUGCCUGGAGCUUGAACUACUUCCUCAGCCUCGUGUCCAAAUCCAUCUCACACGUGUGAUUUUAGCAGCCAGAAAUGAACAGGGACCUGGGCUCCUUUCAUGUCCCCAUUUCCAUGACCUAGAGGGGUCACUGGAGCAUUCCCAGCACUGAAGCAGACCUGCUUUGGAGCCAUCCAUCACCUGAGCCAAGCUGGGAACAGUCUCUGCCCCUGAGGGGGGGUUCAAUGAGUGGCUGAAGCCCCUGGCUCCAGCACUGUGUCUUGGAGGGGCCCAGUCACAGGGCUCCCAUGUUUCCAAGAGAACAGCGAGUGGCUCUGCAAGCAUUUUGCUCUUUAUUUUGUAGCAUUAUUGGGGUGACUUUUAUAAGCAAGAUAAAAUUUGUUUCUCUCUGAUCACAGCUUAGAUCCCUGUCAGGGAUGACAUGCUGUCCCUUGUCCCAGGAUAAAUGUGGCAGGAGUCUGAGCAUG